rnacentral:rRNA from 1 species
UUCUUUAAGAAAAUCAUCUAAAGUAACUCCUGCUCAAUGUAAUUAUAAAUAGCCGCAGACAGCUGCGCUAAGGUAGCAUAAUCAUUUGCUUUAUAAUUAAAAGAUAGAAUGAAAGGAUCAACGAAAUAGGAUUGUCUCUAGAAAAUAUAACUAAACUUAUAUCUACGUUAAAAAGCUUAGAUACACUAAUAAGACGACAAGACCCUGAUAAACUUUACAUUUAGUUGGGGUAACGAAUCAAUAAAUCUUUGUAACAAAAAACAACAUCAACCGUUAAUAAACGAUCAAGAUAAGUUACUACAGGGAUAACAGCGUAAUUUUUCUUCAAAGCUCACAUUAAAAGAAAAGAUUACGACCUCGAUGUUGAAUUAAUUAUUCUUCUAGGCGCAAAAGCCUCGUUAAGACAGUCUGUUCGACUAUUAAUGAAUU